rnacentral:rRNA from 1 species
AACGCACCUUGCACCCUCUGGUAUUCCGGAGGGUAUGCCUGUUUGAGUGUCAUUAAAUUCUCAACUUCAAUAACUUGUGUUAUUGAAGCUUGGAUGUGGAGGCUUGCUGGCGUCUUAGAUGUUUUCAGCUCCUCUUAAAUGCAUUAGUGGAGUUACAUGUUUCCUCGUUGUGUUGGUCCAUUUUGGUGUGAUAAUUAUCUACAUCUUGAUGAGUUCAACUGCUUUUCAAGACAAUUUUGUUGUCUUGGUUGGGAUAGUGUACCUUGUGCUCUAUCUGUAAUUGGGAUAUCGUAUGCGUUUGCGUGCUUUAUCUGUUUAUUGAGGAACAAGUAUAGUUUGCUUUCUAACUGUCUAUGUAUAUAGACUUUAUUGACUAUUUGACCUCAAAUCAGGUAGGACUACCCGCUGAACUUAA